rnacentral:misc_RNA from 1 species
CAACCGCUACUAGCUACGCUAUUAACUUCAUCCCAUACCUCCAAUUCCAAACAUAAACACGAUACACCAAAGAUUAACAAUCAAGCAGAAACCAAACGUCAGUUUCUCGCGCAAGCCCUAACCAAACCUCAGCACCAUUAGCCCCAUUAACAAGAUAAACAAUUCAUCGCUACGGUCCUCGCCCACUAAUUCCACCCACUUCAUCACCUCGCCAACCCUUCAAAAACCAGUACCAUCAUCCUUCAACUACCCCCUCGAGGUCUCUUCAUUCAUCCCCUAGCGAGCACUCAUAUCGUCGGCAAGCUCGGUUCAGCUACGAAAUUGAUUCCACACCACCGCAGGGACACGAUGGAGGGGAGACGUAUGAACGAGAGAAGGAGAAAAAGAAGAAGAAGAAGAAGAAGAAGCUGAAAAGUCUGAAUUCCCUCUCUCCCGCUGGUAAAACUCGCCAGGAAUUCCUGGGCCACGGCCGACUCGAAACCUCUUGGUCCGACUGGCGGAGUCCGGGUCCUGGCUACGGGGGCAAGCCUCUUAUCCACGCAGGAUCGGUCUGUGACUUUUGUCGGUGCGCGUUCCCCGGUCCUCUUUGAGUAAUGGAAGUCGACCGAAAUCAAUUUCAAUUCCUACGAGCCGGCGCUCGCUCGCCGUGCGCGGUUCCCUCUUUGAGAGAGGCACCGUUUCAGCUUCCAUGCGCGCCUCCCCUUGCUUAACACCUUUGGAUUUUAUGUGGAUGGUCUCUUCGCUCGCCGAUCGGGCGUAGGGUACGUGGACGAUUGGUAUGCCGACAAUCUCGCGAAUCCAACUCUUCUUGGUACGGAGCCGACUGAUACCGAGUCUUCGACGGUUUAUCUACCGAUAUCUAUCGCUCAGAGAGGGUUGAGACGUUGGUGUUGGGAAAAGGG